rnacentral:misc_RNA from 1 species
CCCAAGCUCUGCAUUCCGUUGCUUCUGAUCAGCAAAAGAAUAAUGCAAGCAGACACCGCUGUCUCUCAUGUAGUGCAGCGUGUGCGCGUGUGCUUGUGUGGGGGAUGGAGUCCCCCCUCCUCCUCCCGCCACACAUACGCGCGUUGAGGGGGUGGAGGCUGGGGGGAUGCAAAGCCGCCGCCUUUUUUCUUCGUUCUCCUUUGCGUUUCUUUUGUCUUGGACAGUUUUGCAUCCCACCAUUUGCGUUAUCGACCUAUGACUUUCUGCCCCCACCCCCUCUCCCUUCCUUCAUCUCGUCCUCCACUACACCCUUCUCAUUUUCUUAAGGUUUAUCGUCUCCUGUGUCUACUGGGCGUGCGUGUUGCGUGUCUUUUCAGAGGGAGCCGUUCACGACUUUUACAAGAUAGGAGAAAGAAUUCAAUGGCCUGCAGAUGCGGAGGCCUCAACAAGCAACGAAAAAGAAGAGGCGACGGCGAUGCGAGGGGAGAGGGAAAAGAAGGCAGUUUUUUUUUUCCUUUCAGCAGCAGCGGCAGCAGGAGCCGCAGCGCGUGAAACACGUGACCACUGACAUGACACAAAACGAUGAAUUUAUAUAUGUGCAAGCGUUUCACUAUAGCUGCUUGUAUACGUCGUGGAUGCCCCUGUGCCAGCUGACCUCCUGCUGCUGUUUUCUCUGUUGUCGGUCUCUCUCUUGUUUGCUCUAACUCUCCUUUGGCUUCCUCCUCCUCACAGUCGACGCCAACCGAUCUCCGUGUUGCUCAUUUUAGCUGAAGCACACACACACACACACACACAGAGUUUCUCCCACAAUUCCAGCGAUGUUUGUACUUUCCGCCUUCCUUUUGGCUGAUGAGGUCCGUUUGUCGGCUGGCUAGUUUGUUUGAUCAUUUUUCUUGUUCUUUGCCUUGCUUCACAAGCACUGCUUUUUUUUGUGUGUGUAUUAUGCCGACUGCUUUCCUCCAGUUUGCGUGCGUGUGCUGAACAAGAUUUUCGCGCAUUAUAUAUAAAGGACUUAAUGGCGUUCUUUUCUCCCCCCUUUGCUUGCCUUUUUGCGCUGCCUCAGUGUUGGCUCGUUCUUUUGUUUUUCAAGGGCGGAUAUCUACGAACGUUUUCUGUACCACCGACGAAGGGGGUGGGAGAGAGGGAUCGUCCGAGAAAGACGCGUGCGUGCAUACACAGGCUUGCGCGUUCUGCGUGGAUGCGCGUGGCAUCUCCCUCCCUCUUGCGCCGUCUCGCUUUAUGACACCUUUCCUCCCUUUGGCUGCGUCUCUCCACGACUUUCUUCUCUCUUGCUGUGUACGGAUUCGUAUUUGCAUGUGCAGACCCGCAGGCAGACAUCCGUGAAAAGAAAAGGGAAGGCGAAAUAGCAAAUAAGGUGAGGCGUGCGCGUGCGUGUGCGAGGUUCUCUCAACAACAAC